rnacentral:rRNA from 1 species
UACGAAGGGAGCUAGCGUUACUCGGAAUUAUUGGGCGUAAAGCGUGCGUAGACGGCUUUGUAAGUCGGAAGUGAAAUCCUGGAGCUUAACUCCAGAAUUGCUUUCGAAACUGCAUGGCUAGAGUGUCAGAGGGGAUGACGGAAUUCCUAGUGUAGAGGUGAAAUUCGUAGAUAUUAGGAGGAACACCGGUGGCGAAGGCGGUCAUCUGGCUGAAUACUGACGUUGUUGCACGAAAGCGUGGGGAGCAAACAGG